UGCACUUCGCUGACGAGUGGCGGACGGGUGAGUAAUGCUUGGGAACUUGCCUUUGCGAGGGGGAUAACAGUUGGAAACGACUGCUAAUACCGCAUAAUGUCUACGGACCAAACGGGGCUUAGGCUCCGGCGCAAAGAGAGGCCCAAGUGAGAUUAGCUAGUUGGUAAGGUAAAGGCUUACCAAGGCAACGAUCUCUAGCUGUUCUGAGAGGAAGAUCAGCCACACUGGAACUGAGACACGGUCCAGACUCCUACGGGAGGCAGCAGUGGGGAAUAUUGCACAAUGGGGGAAACCCUGAUGCAGCCAUGCCGCGUGUGUGAAGAAGGCCUUCGGGUUGUAAAGCACUUUCAGUUGUGAGGAAAAGUUAGUAGUUAAUACCUGCUAGCCGUGACGUUAACAACAGAAGAAGCACCGGCUAACUCCGUGCCAGCAGCCGCGGUAAUACGGAGGGUGCGAGCGUUAAUCGGAAUUACUGGGCGUAAAGCGCACGCAGGCGGUUUGUUAAGCUAGAUGUGAAAGCCCCGGGCUCAACCUGGGAUGGUCAUUUAGAACUGGCAGACUAGAGUCUUGGAGAGGGGAGUGGAAUUCCAGGUGUAGCGGUGAAAUGCGUAGAUAUCUGGAGGAACAUCAGUGGCGAAGGCGACUCCCUGGCCAAAGACUGACGCUCAUGUGCGAAAGUGUGGGUAGCGAACAGGAUUAGAUACCCUGGUAGUCCACACCGUAAACGCUGUCUACUAGCUGUUUGUGACUUUAAGUCGUGAGUAGCGAAGCUAACGCGCUAAGUAGACCGCCUGGGGAGUACGGCCGCAAGGUUAAAACUCAAAUGAAUUGACGGGGGCCCGCACAAGCGGUGGAGCAUGUGGUUUAAUUCGAUGCAACGCGAAGAACCUUACCUACACUU
rnacentral:rRNA from 2 species